rnacentral:rRNA from 1 species
AUACGGAAGGGGGCUAGCGUUGCUCGGAAUGACUGGGCGUAAAGGGCGUGUAGGCGGUUUACACAGUCAGAUGUGAAAUCCCCGGGCUUAACCUGGGAGCUGCAUUUGAUACGUGUAGACUAGAGUGUGAGAGAGGGUUGUGGAAUUCCCAGUGUAGAGGUGAAAUUCGUAGAUAUUGGGAAGAACACCGGUGGCGAAGGCGGCAACCUGACUCAUGACUGACGCUGAGGCGACGAAAGCGGUGGGGAGAC